rnacentral:rRNA from 1 species
AGCGAACGCUGGCGGCAGGCCUAACACAUGCAAGUCGAACUGACCCUUCGGGGUUAGUGGCGGACGGGUGAGUAACACGUGGGAACGUGCCUUUAGGUUCGGAAUAGCUCCUGGAAACGGGUGGUAAUGCCGAAUGUGCCCUUCGUGGGAAAGAUUUAUCGCCUUUAGAGCGUCCCGCGUCUGAGUAGCUAGUUGUUGAGGUAAUGGCUCACCAAGGCAACGAUCAGUAGCUGGUCUGAGAGGGUGACCAGCCACAUUGGGACUGAGACACGGCCCAGACUCCUACGGGAGGCAGCAGUGGGGAGUCUUGCGCAAUGGGCGAAAGCCUGACGCAGCCAUGCCGCGUGAAUGAUGAAGGUCUUAGGAUUGUAAAAUUCUUUCACCGGGGACGAUAAUGCCGGUACCCGGAGAAGAAGCCCCGGCUAACUUCGUGCCAGCCGCCGCCGUAAAAC